UCCUGCGUGGGCUCAUGAAGAGCUACUUUGGU
rnacentral:piRNA from 1 species